CGGCUCUGGGUCUGUGGGGA
rnacentral:miRNA from 8 species